rnacentral:rRNA from 1 species
CCUACGGGGGGCAGCAGUGGGGAAUAUUGGACAAUGGGGGGAACCCUGAUCCAGCCAUGCCGCGUGUGUGAAGAAGGCCCUCGGGUUGUAAAGCACUUUCAGUGAGGAAGAACGCCUGGUGGUUAAUACCCAUCAGGAAAGACAUCACUCACAGAAGAAGCACCGGCUAACUCCGUGCCAGCAGCCGCGGUAAUAUGGAUGGUGCGAGCGUUAAUCGGAAUUACUGGGCGUAAAGCGCGCGUAGGUGGCUUGAUAAGCCGGUUGUGAAAGCCCCGGGCUCAACCUGGGAACGGCAUCCGGAACUGUCAAGCUAGAGUGCAGGAGAGGAAGGUAGAAUUCCCGGUGUAGCGGUGAAAUGCGUAGAGAUCGGGAGGAAUACCAGUGGCGAAGGCGGCCUUCUGGACUGACACUGACACUGAGGUGCGAAAGCGUGGGUAGCAAACAGGAUUAGCUACCCUGGUAGUC